rnacentral:lncRNA from 1 species
GUGCUUUAUUUAUUUAUCUGCAGAUCUAAGAUAAGCACUUGGCCAAAACAAAUCUCCCAUUGCCCAGAUUCAGUGUCUCAAAGCAGGAACCUGUGCAAAUCCACCAAUCACCAACACUGGAAUAUUCUUGCCAGGUUCAUAAUUAAAUAUAGAUAUGCAGUAGAUGAAAGUAUGCUAGCGCUGAGACAGUUUGCUAUCAUGGCACUGAAAAAUGAGAAGCAGCUAGUGCAAAGCCAACUGUAAGGAGUCAGUGAAGCUCAUUUGCAAGGGAAAUGCAAAUACAGAGCUGAUUGCAUUCCCUUAAAUGGAAAAGUGUGUUAAAUCUGAUAAGAGUGCUCUGAGUGUCUUCUGAGCGUGGGCUUGUCUCAAUGCUUAGUUUCUGUUCUUCACUGGGUGAGGGAAUGAAUGCUGUUCUGAAACUGCGCGCAGGACGGUUACUGAAGAAAUCAGUGGUUGAGCUGAGAUGUUUUGCUUAUGACCCCUGGCGGUAAAAGGAGGGCUCUACAAGUCCAUCACUUUAGGCCCCAGCUACGACUGCGCUCCUUAUACUGGGCUCUGUGUACUCAGAAGAAGGCAACUGCAGUUCAGAUUCAUGCUACAUACACCAGGACAUCCCACCUCAUAUCUGAAUUGCCCUUUGGAAGUGCCUAUCUCUGUCCUUCCAGUGCCUAUAAAUAGUGACAAUGACGGGAACAAGCCGUUUACCCGGCACUUCAGUUACAUGCAUCAGGCAGGAUGAAUCCAGAUUGAAGAGCCUGCAGUUGCUGCAGAGAAGGAAAAGUGCUGGAGAGAGAAAAAAAUGAGCUCUGUUAAAAGGGGGGUGGUGGGGAGGAGUACUGAAGAAUUUGAUGACUUGUCUGAGCACACCCUGGGCGGUUUGGCCAUGAGCCAAGAAUGCAGCUUUUCUCUCUG